GAAAGAGAGAGGGAGGGAGAGAGAGAGAGAGAAGGAGAGGGAGAGAGAGAGAGGAUUAGCUCUAGCAGUCUCUGCAGAAGAGCUUCAGGAAUCAGAAGUGCAAGAUAAAACCUAUUUCACAUGUACCUGUUUAUCACCACUGUUUUGCCCCUUGCCUACAAGUACAGGGACGAGCCUAUCUUUCCUUGGGCAUCAGUACCACCAUCCCAUGAAGUCUGGUCACCCUUAUGGCC